GGACAUUUUCUCAUAGUUCCAGUGACUUCGAAGUCCAUGAUCAAGGUUCUAGUAGGUUCAGUUGCCUGGUGAGGGCUGCUCUCUGCUUCCAAGAUGGUACCUAGUUGCUGCACCCUGUGGAAGGUAGGAAACUGUGUCUUUACCUGGCAAAGACUGAAGGGCACACUUGAUGAAUGCUAUUUGAGUCCUCUUUUAUAAGGUCCUUAAUGGUCAUUCUCCUCACAUAAAAAAUAAUCCAUUGUUUGACCACUUGCUUACUGCCAACUAGCAGGGCUGGUGACCUAUGCUGGGUUCACAAAAUCUGGCUACAUCAAUAAGUGAGAAAAUGAAGAAGAAAGCACACAAGCACACAGAAAUAUCUUUUCAAAAAUCCAGGAUGGCUCUUGACCUUAGGGGUCUGUUGGAAAUAGAGAGCUUGCAUCUGGAUUCUUUAUUUUUAGGGGGGUCCACACAAAGGAAGGUUCGAUGGAAUGUUCUUUCCAAAGAAGGCAAGGGGUCAGGUUUCAGGGGGUUGAGUCACACCCAUCUCAGGUGUUGUGUGGGAACACAAGCAGAGCGAGAGGAAAGUACACACAUGUGUUGCACAGCCCAAAGAGCACACAACCCCAGGCCAGUCCUCCCAUACACUCAAAUGUGCAUUGCUCCCACACACAGUCCAUGGCUAGCCCGGGACACUUGCUAUUUGCCAAAAACUAGGCUCUCUUAAAUUUACUAGAAUGUAUCAUUAUUGUUUAAUGUGUUUAAUCCAUCUUGCCAGUUAGGUAUUAUUACUAUUCUCAUUUUACAAAUAAGGAAGGCAUCUCUAAAAGUUAAAAAACAAAACAAAUAUAUACCUGAUUGUAAGGUCACCAUUAAGAAGUAGCAGGCCUGAGAUUUGGUGCCAUGCUUUUCUGGGUCCAAAGCAUCACUCUUAAAUAAAAGCAAUAAUGACUACUUAGCUUAUAAAUUCCUUAACUUCCCCUUAGAAGUGAGGAUUCAGUUCCUUUCUGUAGUUCAAUCCAAUAUGUUGAGUAGAGUUUGCAGUAGCAUUAAAAAUAUUCUGCCACAUUUGCCCCAACCACAAAAGACUCCUAAG
rnacentral:lncRNA from 1 species